rnacentral:rRNA from 1 species
GGAGGAAAGUAGGGGAUCGCAAGACCUUGCGCUAAAGGAGCGGCCGAUGUCUGAUUAGCUAGUUGGUGGGGUAAAGGCUUACCAAGGCAACGAUCAGUAGUUGGUCUGAGAGGACGACCAACCACACUGGGACUGAGACACGGCCCAGACUCCUACGGGAGGCAGCAGUGGGGAAUUUUGGACAAUGGGCGAAAGCUGGAUCCAGCCAUGCCGCGUGAGUGAAGAAGGCCUUCGGGUUGUAAAGCUCUUUUAGUCGGAAAGAAAGAAUUAUGACGAAUAAUCAUGAUUUAUGACGGUACCGACAGAAAAAGCACCGGCUAACUACGUGCCAGCAGCCGCGGUAAUACGUAGGGUGCGAGCGUUAAUCGGAAUUACUGGGCGUAAAGGGUGCGCAGGCGGUUUUGUAAGUCAGAUGUGAAAGCCCCGGGCUUAACCUGGGAAUUGCGUUUGAACUACAAGGCUAG